UCCUGGGACCAAGAACUGGAACUAGGUACUGCUUGUUGUGGUAACUCUCUUCCUCAUUUUAGGCCUUUCCUUUUUAACCUCUCCUUCCGGCCAAGCCUUCGCGCUCUCUUCCCCUCCCUCGGUUUCUAUCCGCUCCCGUUAGCUCCACUCCGCACAUUCCUGCAAGGUGUCCCCGUUAAGAGGAGGCAGCUGCGCCGCACUGGCUCUCCACCCUCCAUCCGGCCCUGGCGCCCAGUCGUCAGGUGUUCGAGAGGUUCGUAGCGUCACAAGCGCUCUCCCUCCUCCGUGCCGGCAACAACCGCUCCUACUCUGGUUCUGCUGAGCUCCGAGCCCGGACCAGUGGGCGAUGUAGGCCUUCGGGAAGGGAGAGCCCCGGCUCUGUUUUAUUUAGCCCAGCUGCUCUGGCCUACGUUAUGGAGACUGGCGGGUAGAUUGCGGUCUCCGAGUCGCGGAAUCCUCUUUACGCUGGGAGUGGACGGGCGAGAAU
rnacentral:lncRNA from 1 species